GGUCGUUAGCUGAGUUGGUAGAGCAGUUGACUUUUAAUCAAUUGGUCGCAGGUUCGAAUCCUGCACGACCCACCA
rnacentral:tRNA from 1 species